rnacentral:rRNA from 1 species
UGGGGAAUAUUGCACAAUGGGCGAAAGCCUGAUGCAGCGACGCCGCGUGCGGGAUGAAGGCCUUCGGGUUGUAAACCGCUUUUGAUUGGGAGCAAGCGAGAGUGAGUGUACCUUUCGAAUAAGCACCGGCUAACUACGUGCCAGCAGCCGCGGUAAUACGUAGGUGGCAAGCGUUGUCCGGAUUUAUUGGGCGUAAAGGGAACGCAGGCGGUCUUUUAAGUCUGAUGUGAAAGCCUUCGGCUUAACCGAAGUCGUGCAUUGGAAACUGGGAGACUUGAGUGCAGAAGAGGAGAGUGGAACUCCAUGUGUAGCGGUGAAAUGCGUAGAUAUAUGGAAGAACACCAGUGGCGAAAGCGGCUCUCUGGUCUGUAACUGACGCUGAGGUUCGAAAGCGUGGGUAGCAAACAGGAUUAGAUACCCUGGUAGUCCACGCUGUAAACGAUGAAUGCUAAGUGUUGGAGGGUUUCCGCCCUUCAGUGCUGCAGCUAACGCAUUAAGCAUUCCGCCUGGGGAGUACGACCGCAAGGUUG